rnacentral:rRNA from 1 species
GGGGAAACCCUGACGCAGCAACGCCGCGUGGGUGAUGAAGGUCUUCGGAUUGUAAAGCCCUGUUUUCUAGGACGAUAAUGACGGUACUAGAGGAGGAAGCCACGGCUAACUACGUGCCAGCAGCCGCGGUAAUACGUAGGUGGCGAGCGUUGUCCGGAUUUACUGGGCGUAAAGGGUGCGUAGGCGGAUGUUUAAGUGGGAUGUGAAAUCCCCGGGCUUAACCUGGGGGCUGCAUUCCAAACUGGAUAUCUAGAGUGCAGGAGAGGAAAGCGGAAUUCCUAGUGUAGCGGUGAAAUGCGUAGAGAUUAGGAAGAACACCAGUGGCGAAGGCGGCUUUCUGGACUGUAACUGACGCUGAGGCACGAAAGCGUGGGUAGCAAACAGGAUUAGAUACCCUGGUAGUCCACGCCGUAAACGAUGGAUACUAGGUGUAGGGGGUAUCAACUCCCCCUGUGCCGCAGUUAACACAAUAAGUAUCCCGCCUGGGGAGUACGGUCGCAAGAUUAAAACUCAAAGGAAUUGACGGGGGCCCGCACAAGCAGCGGAGCAUGUGGUUUAAUUCGAAGCAACGCGAAGAACCUUACCUGGACUUGACAUCCCUUGCAUAGCCUAGAGAUAGGUGAAGCCCUUCGGGGCAAGGAGACAGGUGGUGCAUGGUUGUCGUCAGC